CGUCAUCGGAGUAACCAUGUGGAUAGUCGUGGAAUUUGGUUAAUUUUCCAAGUUUUACUUGUUCAUCCUGUGGGAUAUUGAUUGUAUACUGUGUGCUAAAUUUGUCCUGGCCAUGUAAACAAAAACUCAAGGAGCUCGUGUUAGUGCAUAAAACUUCAGUGACUAUGAGUCGUGUUUUCAUCGAACCUACCCCAUUUGAAAAUCUCAUUGCGCCCUAAAUUAAAAAUAUCGAGCUGUGGAUUUUAAAAAAGAAUUUCUAGAAGCAAUACCUUAAUGCUGUGUUUGCAAUUUAUUAAAACUACAAAGUGAAUUAUUAAAGUCAUGAACGAUGGAGCAAAAGAGAUUCCCAGAAUGUUAUAGUUUUCUCAUGACAAAUGAAUAAUCAAAUUGACAUACAUACAAAGUGAAUCUGAUACGAAAGAAGUGAAAUUAAAGUCGUGGACGAUGGAGCAAAGGAGAUUCCCAGAAUGUUAUAGUUUUCUCAUUACAAUUGAAUGAUCAUAUCCAAAGUGAAUCUGAUAUGAAAGAAGUGAAACUAAAAGGUCAGUGGAACAUUUACUUUGACCUUAUUUAAUCUAACGUACAUUUUAAGUAUACAAACAAGCAUACACAUGUUUAAAGAAAUUAUUGAAAACAAAUAAAUUGAUGGAACAACUAAACAUUAAACUAUUACACAUAUUUACAUAAAAUUCGAAUAGAUACAAAUCAAAUACAUUCUGGAAAUUUUGAUAACAUGUUUACAGACCCAUAAUUUAAUAAAAUAACCCUGGAAUGUAAAAACAUCUGUAUUGAAUCCUGUAUAAAAAUAUUUAUAUUUAUACAUUUAAAAUAAAAAAUUUACUUUUCAAGCAUGUUUGAAGAAACAAUUGAAAGACAUUUCUUAGAUAAAAUUUAAGAAAUUAUCGAUACAGUGGUAGACUAUAUGGAACUUAUUCAGAAUUUCUUAUCCAUUAAGGUUUGCAAUAAUCUCAGCUAUAGAUUUAUAACUAUCAAGAACAUUUCAUUUAUAAGUACUUUGUGUUGUACAAGUGUUAUUAUGAUUUAAAAUAUUUUCAGUGAAAGAACCACAUCUAAAAGAAAGAUGAUUCAACUAAUAUGUAUUUGUGACAAAUUCAUUAUGCACAUGUUUAUAAUUUUUAUGUUUUAUGUAUUAUAACAAGCUCCUCCGAAAUUUAAUAGGUCAUUGUCACAAGAAGAUUAAGGUGUGAAGUCUCUUUAUAUACAUUGUAUUAAUUGAA